AGAGUUUGAUCCUGGCUCAGAACGAACGCUGGCGGCGUGCUUAACACAUGCAAGUCGAACGGGAUCCAGAGCUUGCUCUGGUGAGAGUGGCGCACGGCUGAGUAACGCGUGGAUAACCUGCCCUGGUAUCCGGAAUAACAUCUCGAAAGGGGUGCUAAUACCGGAUAAGCCUACGGAGCCCUCGGUCUCUGCAGGAAAAGGUGGCCUCUAUUUAUAAGCUACCGUAUCAGGAUGGGUCCGCGUACCAUUAGCUAGUUGGUGGGGUAAUGGCCUACCAAGGCGACGAUGGUUAGCUGGUCUGAGAGGAUGAUCAGCCACACUGGAACUGAGACACGGUCCAGACUCCUACGGGAGGCAGCAGUGGGGAAUUUUGCGCAAUGGGGGAAACCCUGACGCAGCAACGCCGCGUGAGUGAUGAAGGCUUUCGGGUCGUAAAGCUCUGUCAGAGGGGAAGAAAUGAGAUUGGCUAAUAUCCAAUUUUCUUGACGGUACCCUCAAAGGAAGCACCGGCUAACUCCGUGCCAGCCGCCGCGGUAAUUC
rnacentral:rRNA from 1 species